ensembl:snRNA U2 U2 spliceosomal RNA
UUUGCUUCUUGACCUUUUGGCAAAGAUCAAGUGGAGCAUAUGUUUUUAUCAGUUUAAUAUCUGUUAUGUCCUCAACUUGAGGAUUUUAUAUUAAAUGAGUUUGGGGACUGGGAAAUGUACUAGGAGCUUACACCAUCCUCUCCAUGCGUGAAGCUGGCUAUUGCUGUGUUUCUAGACUGCUGUGAAAAAAAA